rnacentral:rRNA from 1 species
AAUAGAUACCCAGGUAGUCCACGCCGUAAACGAUGAAUACUAGGUGUAGGGGUUGUCAUGACCUCUGUGCCGCCGCUAACGCAUUAAGUAUUCCGCCUGGGGAGUACGGUCGCAAGAUUAAAACUCAAAGGAAUUGACGGGGGCCCGCACAAGCAGCGGAGCAUGUGGUUUAAUUCGAAGCAACGCGAAGAACCUUACCUAGACUUGACAUCUCCUGCAUUACUCUUAAUCGGGGAAGUUCCUUCGGGGACAGGAAGACAGGUGGUGCAUGGUUGUCGUCAGCUCGUGUCGUGAGAUGUUGGGUUAAGUCCCGCAACGAGCGCAACCCUUAUUGUUAGUUGCUACCAUUUAGUUGAGCACUCUAGCGAGACUGCCCGGGUUAACCGGGAGGAAGGUGGGAUGACGUCAAAUCAUCAUGCCCCUUAUGUCUAGGGCUACACACGUGCUACAAUGGCAAGUACAAAGAGAAGCAAGACCGCGAGGUGGAGCAAAACUCAAAAACUUGUCUCAGUUCGGAUUGUAGGCUGAAACUCGCCUAC